CGGCUCUCGAUUCCAGAACUCAGCGCGGGUGAUUCGAUUAUUGUUGCACUCAAACGUGGGGCUUCCAAACCCUUCCCCAGAGCCUAUGAGCACAGCUGAGGACCUGGGGAUAGGACAAUGGUUGAGGCUCCAGACCUGCUUCCAUCACAGCCGUUGAUUCUAUUUCACAUAUUCCAGGCUUUGUGGAGGUCCACUCAAGGGGCGUUUAAGCCCGCACUAUGCUGGGCAUUUUACACCUAUUCUCGUAUGUAAUCCUCAUUGCAACCUGAAGGAAGGAGAUAAUCACUAUAUCCCCCGUUGAACCGGUGAGAAAAACUGAAGCUCAGAAAGUUCAGUGAUUGGGUCGAGGCUCCAAGGUUAGUAAGUGACAGAACGGGAUUACAAGACGUGUUUAAGCACUGCCCACUAAUUGGGUGGAUGUGCACGCAGCCGGCAUGGGGAAAUUAAAGCGGGAGGGGGUCGAAGAAGGGACAUUUGGGA